rnacentral:rRNA from 1 species
CCUACGGGGCGCUGCAGUGAGGAAUAUUGGUCAAUGGUCGGGAGACUGAACCAGCCAAGCCGCGUGAGGGAUGAAGGUACAGAGUAUCGUAAACCUCUUUUGUCAGGGAACAAAGGCGGGGACGUGUCCCCGGAUGAGUGUACCUGAAGAAAAAGCAUCGGCUAACUCCGUGCCAGCAGCCGCGGUAAUACGGAGGAUGCGAGCGUUAUCCGGAUUUAUGGGGUUUAAAGGGUGCGCAGGCGGUCUGUUAAGUCAGCGGUCAAAGCCCGGGGCUCAACCCCGGCCCGCCGUUGAAACUGGCAGUCUCGAGUUGGAGAGAAGUAUGCGGAAUGCGCGGUGUAGCGGUGAAAUGCAUAGAUAUCGCGCAGAACUCCGAUUGCGAAGGCAGCAUGCCGGCUCCACACUGACGCUGAGGCACGAAAGCGUGGGUAUCGAACAGGAUUAGAUACCCGUGUAGUC